rnacentral:rRNA from 1 species
GACGAACGCUGGUGGCGUGCUUAACACAUGCAAGUCGAACGGAAAGGCCCUGCUUUUGUGGGGUGCUCGAGUGGCGAACGGGUGAGUAACACGUGAGUAACCUGCCCUUGACUUUGGGAUAACUUCAGGAAACUGGGGCUAAUACCGGAUAGGAGCUCCUGCUGCAUGGUGGGGGUUGGAAAGUUUCGGCGGUUGGGGAUGGACUCGCGGCCUAUCAGCUUGUUGGUGGGGUAGUGGCUUACCAAGGCUUUGACGGGUAGCCGGCCUGAGAGGGUGACCGGCCACAUUGGGACUGAGAUACGGCCCAGACUCCUACGGGAGGCAGCAGUGGGGAAUAUUGCACAAUGGGCGGAAGCCUGAUGCAGCAACGCCGCGUGCGGGAUGACGGCCCUCGGGUUGUAAACCGCUUUCGCCUGUGACGAAGCGUGAGUGACGGUAAUGGGUAAAGAAGCACCGGCUAACUACGUG